AUAAAGGUUCUAUUAAGAACCACGCACUACAUUUGGUUGUUAUUU
rfam:TPA: Bos taurus chromosome 11, whole genome shotgun sequence.